UAAACGACUCUCGGCAACGGAUAUCUCGGCUCYCGCAUCGAUGAAGAACGUAGCAAAAUGCGAUACUUGGUGUGAAUUGCAGAAUCCCGUGAACCAUCGAGUUUUUGAACGCAAGUUGCGCCCGAAGCCAUUCGGCCGAGGGCACGUCUGCCUGGGCGUCACGC
rnacentral:rRNA from 1 species